CUACGGGAGGCCCCAGUGAGGAAUAUUGCACAAUGGGGGGAACCCUGAUGCAGCAACGCCGCGUGGAGGAUGACACAUUUCGGUGCGUAAACUCCUUUUAUAGGUCAAGAUAAUGACGGUAGCCUAUGGAUAAGCGCCGGCUAACUCCGUGCCAGCAGCCGCGGUAAUACGGAGGGCGCAAGCGUUACUCGGAAUCACUGGGCGUAAAGAGCAUGUAGGCGGAUUGUUAAGUUGGAAGUGAAAUCCUAUGGCUUAACCAUAGAACUGCUUCCAAAACUGAUAAUCUAGAGUAUGUGAGAGGUAGAUGGAAUUUCUGGUGUAGGGGUAAAAUCCGUAGAGAUCAGAAGGAAUACCGAUUGCGAAGGCGAUCUACUGGAACAUUACUGACGCUCAGAUGCGAAAGCGUGGGGAGCAAACAGGAUUAGAUACCCUAGUAGUC
rnacentral:rRNA from 1 species